rnacentral:rRNA from 1 species
UACGUAGGGUCCGAGCGUUGUCCGGAAUUACUGGGCGUAAAGAGCUCGUAGGCGGCUUGUCGCGUCGACUGUGAAAACUGUGGCUCAACCAUGUGGUCUGCAGUCGAUACGGGCAGGCUAGAAUUCGGUAGGGGAGACUGGAAUUCCUGGUGUAGCGGUGAAAUGCGCAGAUAUCAGGAGGAACACCGGUGGCGAAGGCGGGUCUCUGGGCCGAUAUUGACGCUGAGGAGCGAAAGCCCAGGGGAGCAAACGGGG